GACAGAGGGUGCAAACGUUGUUCGGAAUUACUGGGCGUAAAGCGCGUGUAGGCGGCCCUGUAAGUCGGGUGUGAAAUCCCACGGCUCAACCGUGGAAGUGCACUCGAAACUACAGGGCUAGAGUCCUGGAGAGGAAGGUGGAAUGCGUGGUGUAGAGGUGAAAUUCGUAGAUAUCAAGCGGAACACCGGUGGCGAAGGCGGCCCCCUGGUUGGAUACUGACGCUGAGACGCGAAAGCGUGGGGAGCAAACAGG
rnacentral:rRNA from 1 species